CGGGAAGUCUGUUCCUUGCAGACCCCUGACCACGCGAUGAAUGAAUAAAGUACACUGACACACAGAUAUUCUGCUCUGCCAGUCCAGCUGAGGGUCCAAGCCCCUUACAGGCUCCCUGCUGAGCCCUGUAAACAGUUGCGACUCGGCAGGGAGCCUGUAAGCACCUGGGACCCUCAGAAUAUCUGUGUGUCAGCGUACUUUAUUCACCGGUCAUUGGGUCAGGGGUCUGCAAGGGACAGACUCCCCACAGCUGGUGACCCCUCGAGAGGAGCCCUGCCCCCAGCUGGUGCCCCAUGUGAGGCGCUGUGUGAGGAACUGUGUGAGGAAUGCUGUGAAGGAAACGCGACGAACCGCCCGAAAACGAAGGGCAAAGCGGCUGAGAUCUUUGAACUCCCUUUGAACUUUGAGAAUGGUGACUGGAAGAUGACAAUUCAUGUUGUUUUCAGGAAAGCUAUAAAUUGAAUCAAGUUGGACACCGGAAUUUUGACCACUUUCCACCUUUCUAUCGUGGUCAGGUUUCUUCAUGAGAAGAGGAGAUUCGGUCACAGGCAUGUACAGAAGAAGACUGUGUGAAGACACAGAAGAAGUUAUCUACAAACCAACGAGAGAGGCUUCAGAAGAAACCAACAUUGUUGACACCCUGAUCUUGGAUUUCUAGACUCAGGAAUUAUGAGAAAAUAAAUUUUUAUUGUUUAAGCCACC
rnacentral:lncRNA from 10 species